GGAGGAAUCAACCUACGAAAAAUUGCGUUACUGCCAUUGUGAGCUAGGUAGGAGGCAGCUUUUGAUAGAGCCGAAUCAAAGUAUGGUAUCAAUUUGGGCUUCAUUGUACUAGUUCCAGAGCUGUAAAAGAAACAAACGAGAGGGUCAACGGAGAGGAAAGGGUGAUCGUGAUCGGGUUCUCCGUUGGCCAUUCGACUGAUGUGAUCGGCGUAAUCUUCGUAGCUAGACAACGGUACUAAGCGGCGAAAAGUUUCAGCGUCGAUGGGCUCAUGAUAGCCUGAGAGAAAGGGCCAGAGAUAACGUACACCAGCUUGGUGUUGGAGGAUCGAGUGGAGAGUCUGGAGCUGGUGAAGCGCGGCGUCUUUCGUGGAGUCCUCCAGCUUUGCCAGAAGCUCCUCGUUCGUCAUUUCUUGACAGCGCAGAUUUGCAGAGCCACUUUGUCCGAGGAGAUCGGGAAUUAGACUGUUGGGGNNNNNNNNNCUAUGCCAAUUGGCGGCAGACUAAAUUCAUUCAACGAACCAAGUCCACGUCGUGACAGCGC
rnacentral:misc_RNA from 1 species